ensembl:snoRNA small nucleolar RNA SNORA19
GUGCACAAUUCAUUGUCUGCUCUUACAUAUAUUAAGAGAUGGGAUAUUUCUGUUGUGCAAGAAACACUGGAGGUAAAUUAGCAGAGUGGCUACCAUGUGCCGGCUCUGCCAGUCCCCUUCGUACAUCC